rnacentral:rRNA from 1 species
UGGGAAGUAUUGGACAAUGGGCGGAAGCCUGAUCCAGCAACGCCGCGUGAGGGAUGACGGCCUUCGGGUUGUAAACCUCUUUCACCACCGACGAAGCGCAAGUGACGGUAGGUGGGAAGAAGCACCGGCCAACUACGUGCCAGCAGCCGCGGUAAUACGUAGGGUGCGAGCGUUGUCCGGAAUUAUUGGGCGUAAAGGGCUCGUAGGCGGUUUGUCGCGUCGGGAGUGAAAACCUCGGGCUUAACUCGGGCUGGCUUUCGAUUACGGGCAGGACUGGAGGGUAGUGCAGGGGGAGAACGGAAUUCCUGGUGUAGCGGUGAAAUGCGCAG